rnacentral:rRNA from 1 species
UACUGAUUGUUCACGCUUGAAUCGGAAUUACUGGGCGUAAAGCGCACGCAGGCGGUCUGUCAAGUCGGAUGUGAAAUCCCCGGGCUCAACCUGGGAACUGCAUUCGAAACUGGCAGGCUAGAGUCUUGUAGAGGGGGGUAGAAUUCCAGGUGUAGCGGUGAAAUGCGUAGAGAUCUGGAGGAAUACCGGUGGCGAAGGCGGCCCCCUGGACAAAGACUGACGCUCAGGUGCGAAAGCGUGGGGAGCAAACAGGAUGAGAUAACCGGGUAGUCC